rnacentral:rRNA from 1 species
AGCGUACACGGUGGAUGCCCUGGCAGUCAGAGGCGAUGAAGGACGUGCUAAUCUGCGAUAAGCGUCGGUAAGGUGAUAUGAACCGUUAUAACCGGCGAUUUCCGAAUGGGGAAACCCAGUGUGAUUCGUCACACUAUCAUUAACUGAAUCCAUAGGUUAAUGAGGCGAACCGGGGGAACUGAAACAUCUAAGUACCCCGAGGAAAAGAAAUCAACCGAGAUUCCCCCAGUAGCGGCGAGCGAACGGGGAGCAGCCCAGAGCCUGAAUCAGUGUGUGUGUUAGUGGAAGCGUCUGGAAAGGCGCGCGAUACAGGGUGACAGCCCCGUACACAAAAAUGCACAUGCUGUGAGCUCGAUGAGUAGGGCGGGACACGUGGUAUCCUGUCUGAAUAUGGGGGGACCAUCCUCCAAGGCUAAAUACUCCUGACUGACCGAUAGUGAACCAGUACCGUGAGGGAAAGGCGAAAAGAACCCCGGCGAGGGGAGUGAAAAAGAACCUGAAACCGUGUACGUACAAGCAGUGGGAGCACGCUUAGGCGUGUGACUGCGUACCUUUUGUAUAAUGGGUCAGCGACUUAUAUUCUGUAGCAAGGUUAACCGAAUAGGGGAGCCGAAGGGAAACCGAGUCUUAACUGGGCGUUAAGUUGCAGGGUAUAGACCCGAAACCCGGUGAUCUAGCCAUGGGCAGGUUGAAGGUUGGGUAACACUAACUGGAGGACCGAACCGACUAAUGUUGAAAAAUUAGCGGAUGACUUGUGGCUGGGGGUGAAAGGCCAAUCAAACCGGGAGAUAGCUGGUUCUCCCCGAAAGCUAUUUAGGUAGCGCCUCGUGAAUUCAUCUCCGGGGGUAGAGCACUGUUUCGGCAAGGGGGUCAUCCCGACUUACCAACCCGAUGCAAACUGCGAAUACCGGAGAAUGUUAUCACGGGAGACACACGGCGGGUGCUAACGUCCGUCGUGAAGAGGGAAACAACCCAGACCGCCAGCUAAGGUCCCAAAGUCAUGGUUAAGUGGGAAACGAUGUGGGAAGGCCCAGACAGCCAGGAUGUUGGCUUAGAAGCAGCCAUCAUUUAAAGAAAGCGUAAUAGCUCACUGGUCGAGUCGGCCUGCGCGGAAGAUGUAACGGGGCUAAACCAUGCACCGAAGCUGCGGCAGCGACACUGUGUGUUGUUGGGUAGGGGAGCGUUCUGUAAGCCUGUGAAGGUGUACUGUGAGGUAUGCUGGAGGUAUCAGAAGUGCGAAUGCUGACAUAAGUAACGAUAAAGCGGGUGAAAAGCCCGCUCGCCGGAAGACCAAGGGUUCCUGUCCAACGUUAAUCGGGGCAGGGUGAGUCGACCCCUAAGGCGAGGCCGAAAGGCGUAGUCGAUGGGAAACAGGUUAAUAUUCCUGUACUUGGUGUUACUGCGAAGGGGGGACGGAGAAGGCUAUGUUGGCCGGGCGACGGUUGUCCCGGUUUAAGCGUGUAGGCUGGUUUUCCAGGCAAAUCCGGAAAAUCAAGGCUGAGGCGUGAUGACGAGGCACUACGGUGCUGAAGCAACAAAUGCCCUGCUUCCAGGAAAAGCCUCUAAGCAUCAGGUAACAUCAAAUCGUACCCCAAACCGACACAGGUGGUCAGGUAGAGAAUACCAAGGCGCUUGAGAGAACUCGGGUGAAGGAACUAGGCAAAAUGGUGCCGUAACUUCGGGAGAAGGCACGCUGAUAUGUAGGUGAAGUCCCUCGCGGAUGGAGCUGAAAUCAGUCGAAGAUACCAGCUGGCUGCAACUGUUUAUUAAAAACACAGCACUGUGCAAACACGAAAGUGGACGUAUACGGUGUGACGCCUGCCCGGUGCCGGAAGGUUAAUUGAUGGGGUUAGCCGCAAGGCGAAGCUCUUGAUCGAAGCCCCGGUAAACGGCGGCCGUAACUAUAACGGUCCUAAGGUAGCGAAAUUCCUUGUCGGGUAAGUUCCGACCUGCACGAAUGGCGUAAUGAUGGCCAGGCUGUCUCCACCCGAGACUCAGUGAAAUUGAACUCGCUGUGAAGAUGCAGUGUACCCGCGGCAAGACGGAAAGACCCCGUGAACCUUUACUAUAGCUUGACACUGAACAUUGAGCCUUGAUGUGUAGGAUAGGUGGGAGGCUUGGAAGUGUGGACGCCAGUCUGCAUGGAGCCGACCUUGAAAUACCACCCUUUAAUGUUUGAUGUUCUAACGUUGACCCGUAAUCCGGGUUGCGGACAGUGUCUGGUGGGUAGUUUGACUGGGGCGGUCUCCUCCUAAAGAGUAACGGAGGAGCACGAAGGUUGGCUAAUCCUGGUCGGACAUCAGGAGGUUAGUGCAAUGGCAUAAGCCAGCUUGACUGCGAGCGUGACGGCGCGAGCAGGUGCGAAAGCAGGUCAUAGUGAUCCGGUGGUUCUGAAUGGAAGGGCCAUCGCUCAACGGAUAAAAGGUACUCCGGGGAUAACAGGCUGAUACCGCCCAAGAGUUCAUAUCGACGGCGGUGUUUGGCACCUCGAUGUCGGCUCAUCACAUCCUGGGGCUGAAGUAGGUCCCAAGGGUAUGGCUGUUCGCCAUUUAAAGUGGUACGCGAGCUGGGUUUAGAACGUCGUGAGACAGUUCGGUCCCUAUCUGCCGUGGGCGCUGGAGAACUGAGGGGGGCUGCUCCUAGUACGAGAGGACCGGAGUGGACGCAUCACUGGUGUUCGGGUUGUCAUGCCAAUGGCACUGCCCGGUAGCUAAAUGCGGAAGAGAUAAGUGCUGAAAGCAUCUAAGCACGAAACUUGCCCCGAGAUGAGUUCUCCCUGACUCCUUGA